GACGAACGCUGGCGGCGUGCUUAACACAUGCCAGUCGAACGGAAAGGCCCUGCUUUUGUGGGGUGCCCGAGUGGCGAACGGGUGAGUAACACGUGAGUAACCUGCCCUUGACUUUGGGAUAACUUCAGGAAACUGGGGCUAAUACCGGAUAGGAGCUGCUGCUGGGGGGUGGGGGUUGGAAAGUUUAGGCGGGUGGGGAUGGACGCGCGGCUUAUCAGCUUGUUGGUGGGGUAGUGGCUUACCCAGGCAUUGACGGGUAGCCGGCCGGGGAGGGUGACCGGCCACAUUGGGACUGAGAUACGGCCCAGACUCCUACGGGAGGCAGCAGUCGGGAAUAUUGCACAAUGGGCCGAAGCCUGAUGCAGCAACGCCGCGUUCGGGAUGACGGCCUUCGGGUUGUAAACCGCUGUCGCCUGUGACGAAGCGUGAGUGACGGUAAUGGGUAAAGAAGCACCGGCUAACUACGUG
rnacentral:rRNA from 1 species